rnacentral:rRNA from 1 species
GUUGGUGUCGAUGACGGUGAGGGUCCACCUGUUCCCAUUCCGAACACAGAAGUUAAGCUCAUCAGUGCCGAAGAUACUUGGCUGGUAACGGCCCGGAAACCUCCGGCUAAGCCGGAG